ensembl:snoRNA
CAGCAUGUUUCCAAGGGCUGUGGCUGGUGGUAGCCAUGGGAUCUCCAACUGCAUGCAAGAGCAACCUGGAAAGACUUUGACAGCGCAGGUCAGUACAAUACCUGCAAGCUGCCACUCAGCUUUCCUAUAAUG